rnacentral:rRNA from 1 species
UACGUAGGGUCCGAGCGUUUGUCCGGAAUUAUUGGGCGUAAAGGGCUCGUAGGCGGUCUGUUGCGUCAGGAGUGAAAACUCGGGGCUUAACCCCCGAGCCUGCUUCUGAUACGGGCAGACUAGAGGUAUGCAGGGGGAGAACGGAAUUCCUGGUGUAGCGGUGAAAUGCGCAGAUAUCAGGAGGAACACCGGUGGCGAAGGCGGUUCUCUGGGCAUUACCUGACGCUGGGAGCAA